rnacentral:rRNA from 1 species
CCUACGGGAGGCAGCAGUGAGGAAUAUUGGUCAAUGGACGAGAGUCUGAACCAGCCAAGUAGCGUGAAGGAUGACUGCCCUAUGGGUUGUAAACUUCUUUUAUAUGGGAAUAAAAUGUUCCACGUGUGGGAUUUUGUAUGUAUCAUAUGAAUAAGGAUCGGCUAACUCCGUGCCAGCAGCCGCGGUAAUACGGAGGAUCCGAGCGUUAUCCGGAUUUAUUGGGUUUAAAUGGAGCGUAGGUGGAUGGUUAAGUCAGUUGUGAAAGUUUGCGGCUCAACCGUAAAAUUGCAGUUGAAACUGGCAGUCUUGAGUACAGUAGAGGUGGGCGGAAUUCGUGGUGUAGCGGUGAAAUGCUUAGAUAUCACGAAGAACUCCGAUUGCGAAGGCAGUUCACUGGACUGCAACUGACACUGAGGCUCGAAAGUGUGGGUAUCAAACAGGAUUAGAUACCCUAGUAGUC